rnacentral:tRNA from 2 species
GCGCCAAUAGCUCAACAGGAGAGAGCAAUCGCCUCCUAAGCGAUCGAUGAAGGUUCAAGUCCUUCUUGGCGUG